rnacentral:tRNA from 1 species
GUGGGGAUAGGUGAGUGGUAGAGGGAGA